rnacentral:rRNA from 1 species
UACGAAGGGGGCUAGCGUUGCUCGGAAUCACUGGGCGUAAAGGGUGCGUAGGCGGGUCUUUAAGUCAGGGGUGAAAUCCUGGAGCUCAACUCCAGAACUGCCUUUGAUACUGAAGAUCUUGAGUUCGGGAGAGGUGAGUGGAACUGCGAGUGUAGAGGUGAAAUUCGUAGAUAUUCGCAAGAACACCAGUGGCGAAGGCGGCUCACUGGCCUGGUACUGACGCUGAGGUGCGAAAGCGUGGGGAGCAAACAGGG